GAAUUAACACAACUUACAGAAGCCUCGGCAACACCAUUUGGAGAGGGCAUUGCGUAUGGACUAAAAGGAUAUGACCCCUGGUUACAUUUACUGUAUCAGUGGAUCAUUGUAUAGUGCGAGUAAGAUCUGAGAUGUAGAAAACAAAUUGGAAAUCAAAGGUCAUUUUCAGCAUGGACAACAACGUCGGUCGAUGUAGCUUACGAAUCCAGAACACCGGUCGUUGUCCAGGUCAGUGGUUAUUAACCAUUUAAACAACCCAAAACUCGAUUAGGGUUUGGAGGUUUACCUUGGCCGGAGAUGCACCUUCAAAUCUAAGCCGGAAACAGAUUGAUGAUCUUCUUCUUUGAUUCAAAGGUGAAUAGAGCGAGCAGAUCCAGAUCCUGAUUCACAGGGAAUAUGAGAGAGAGAGAGAUAGAUGUGGGUUUGAAAUUCGAAAUGCUUGUCGCGCCUGACUCUGUGAGUGUUUGAAGGGCUUUAUGACUUUUUCCAAAACGGAUUUGUGCGUGUUUAAAGGCUUUUAUGACUUUUUCCAAAUGGGCUUUAU
rnacentral:lncRNA from 1 species